rnacentral:rRNA from 3 species
CCGUUCAGGGGUAAACCUGAGAAACCCAAAAGAUCGAAUGGGGAGAUUCAGCGUAAACUCGAUCGAUUGCCGUGUGGCCUGGUGAUGAUUCUCGCCUCGGCGAGGAUUACGCUGUCGCUCUGGUUUAUCAUUGGUCGAGUGGGCGUGCACUUCUCCCCUAGUAGGACGUCGCGACCCGUUGGGUGUCGGUCCACGGCCCGGUUGGUCGACUGUCGCUCGUGGCGUUUACGCGUCACUUUUGGCAGACCAUCGGUUGCCCGGCCGACUGCCCGGCGGUAUUGAUCAAUCGCAUGAAAGGUAUACGGCCGCAUUUUAUCUCGAUAAUGUGCGUCUCGGCUCGUCGGCAGGCUCGCCUCGCUCGGUUUUACGGACCUGGUGCCGUUACCGGGUGCUUGGUGUGGUCGUUUCGCCGACGGUGUCCUCGGACAGGCUGUUAUGUACCGGUCGGCGACGCUACUGCUUUGGGUACUUUCAGGACCCGUCUUGAAACACGGACCAAGGAGUCUAACAUGUGCGCGAGUCAUUGGGACUUGUUUAAGCCUAAAGGCGCAAUGAAAGUGAAGGUCCGCCCUAGCGCGGACCGAGGGAGGAUGGUCAGUUUCUUCUCGGAGGGCUGGCUCGCACUCCCGGGGCGUCUCGUGCUCAUUACGAGCAGAGGCGCACCUAGAGCGUACACGUUGGGACCCGAAAGAUGGUGAACUAUGCCUGGUCAGGACGAAGUCAGGGGAAACCCUGAUGGAGGUCCGUAGCGAUUCUGACGUGCAAAUCGAUCGUCGGAACUGGGUAUAGGGGCGAAAGACUAAUCGAACCAUC